GAUGAACGCUAGCGGCAGGCCUAACACAUGCAAGUCGAGGGGCAGCACAGGAAAGUAGUAAUACUUUUGGGUGGCGACCGGCGGACGGGUGCGUAACGCGUAUACAACCUGCCUUCUACUGGGGGAUAAUUCGGAGAAAUCUGGUCUAAUACCCCAUAACAACCGAUGAGGCAUCUCAUUGGUUUAAAAGCUCCGGCGGUAGAAGAUGGGUAUGCGUGACAUUAGUCAGUUGGUGAGGUAAUGGCUCACCAAGACCGCGAUCCGUAACUGGUCUGAGAGGAUGAUUAGUCACACUGGAACUGAGACACGGUCCAGACUCCUACGGGAGGCAGCAGUGGGGAAUAUUGGACAAUGGGGGGAACCCUGAUCCAGCCAUGCCACGUGUGUGAAGAAGAUCUUAGGAUUGUAAAGCACUUUAAGUCGGGAGGAAGAGCAGUUAACUAAUAUUUGACUGUUUUGACGUUACCGACAGAAUAAGCACCGGCUAACUUCGUGCCAGCCGCCGCAGUAA
rnacentral:rRNA from 1 species